GUCCACGCCGUAAACGAUGAUUACUAGUUGUUUGCGAUAUACCGUAAGUGACUAAGCGAAAGCGAUAAGUAAUCCACCUGGGGAGUACGCCGGCAACGGUGAAACUCAAAGGAAUUGACGGGGCCCGCACAAGCGGAGGAACAUGUGGUUUAAUUCGAUGAUACGCGAGGAACCUUACCCGGGCUUGAAAUGUACCUGACCGUCCUUGAAAAGGGACUUCUAGCAAUAGCAGGUAUGUAGGUGCUGCAUGGUUGUCGU
rnacentral:rRNA from 1 species